rnacentral:rRNA from 1 species
GACGAACGCUGGCGGCGUGCUUAACACAUGCAAGUCGAACGGUGAAGCUCCAGCUUGCUGGAGUGGAUCAGUGGCGAACGGGUGAGUAACACGUGAGCAACCUGCCCCAGACUCUGGAAUAAGCGCUGGAAACGGCGUCUAAUACUGGAUACGAGAUCAAGCCGCAUGGUUAUGGUCUGGAAAGUUUUUCGGUUUGGGAUGGGCUCGCGGCCUAUCAGCUUGUUGGUGAGGUAAUGGCUCACCAAGGCGACGACGGGUAGCCGGCCUGAGAGGGCGACCGGCCACACUGGGACUGAGACACGGCCCAGACUCCUACGGGAGGCAGCAGUGGGGAAUAUUGCACAAUGGGCGAAAGCCUGAUGCAGCGACGCCGCGUGAGGAUGACGGCCUUCGGGUUGUAAACCUCUUUCAGCAGGGAAGAAGCGAAAGUGACGGUACCUGCAGAAGAAGCACCGGCUAACUACGUG